AUUUAAGUAGUUUAAUAAUAAAACUAUGAUUUGUGGUGUCAUGAAUAUAAUGAUUUAUCUUAAAUU
rnacentral:tRNA from 1 species